rnacentral:rRNA from 1 species
CCUACGGGUGGCAGCAGUGAGGAAUAUUGGUCAAUGGGCGCGAGCCUGAACCAACCAAGUCGCGUGAGGGAAGACGGUCCUAUGGAUUGUAAACCUCUUUUGUCGGGGAGCAAAAGACGCCACGCGUGGCGUUCCGAGAGUACCCGAAGAAAAAGCAUCGGCGAACCCCGUGCCAGCAGCCGCGGUAAUACGGGGGAUGCGAGCGUUGUCCGGAUUUGUUGGGGUAAAAGGGUGCGCAGGCGGAAGAUAAAGUGAGCGGUAAAAUUGAGAGGCUCAACCUCUUCGAGCCGUUGAAACUGGGUUUCUUGAGUGAGCGAGAGGGAUGCGGAAUGCGUGGUGUAGCGGUGAAAUGCAUAGAUAUCACGAAGAACUCCGAUUGCGAAGGCAGCAUACCGGCGCUCAACUGACGCUCAUGCACGAAAGUGUGGGUAUCGAACAGGAUUAGAUACCCGUGUAGUC